rnacentral:rRNA from 1 species
GAUGAACGCUGGCGGCGUGCCUAAUACAUGCAAGUCGAGCGAAGCGGGGACGGGUGAGUAACACGUGGCUAACCUCCUAUAAGACUGGGAUAACUUCGGGAAACCGGAGCUAACCCGGUUACUAAUGGAUGGAUCCGCGAUGCAUUAGCUAGUUGGUAAGUUAAGGGCUUACCAAGGCAACGAUGCAUAGCCGACCUGGGAGGGUGAGCGGCCACACUGGAACUGAGACACGGUCCAGACUCCUACGGGAGGCAGCAGUAGGGAAUCUGCCGCAAUGGGCGAAAGCCUGACGGAGCAACGCCGCGUGAGUGAUGAAGGUCUUCGGAUCGUAAAACUCUGUUAUUAGGGAAGCGGUACCUAAUCAGAAAGCCACGGCUAACUACGUGCCAGCAGCCGCGGUAAUAC